AUUGAACGCUGGCGGCAUGCUUUACACAUGCAAGUCGAACGGUAACAGGCCGCAAGGUGCUGACGAGUGGCGAACGGGUGAGUAAUGCAUCGGAACGUGCCCAGUCGUGGGGGAUAACUACUCGAAAGAGUAGCUAAUACCGCAUACGAUCUACGGAUGAAAGCGGGGGACCGUAAGGCCUCGCGCGAUUGGAGCGGCCGAUGUCAGAUUAGGUAGUUGGUGGGGUAAAGGCUCACCAAGCCAACGAUCUGUAGCUGGUCUGAGAGGACGACCAGCCACACUGGGACUGAGACACGGCCCAGACUCCUACGGGAGGCAGCAGUGGGGAAUUUUGGACAAAGGGCGCAAGCCUGAUCCAGCAAUGCCGCGUGCAGGAAGAAGGCCUUCGGGUUGUAAACUGCUUUUGUACGGAACGAAACGGCUCUGGUUAAUACCCGGGGCUAAUGACGGUACCGUAAGAAUAAGCACCGGCUAACUACGUG
rnacentral:rRNA from 1 species